AGUUCCCAUGGAGAAGAAAAAUGGAGAGAUUCUAAAAGUAUGAAGAUACUCCUGUGUAUAAUGAGGAAAUCUUGUCAGUGAAUGUUGUUGCAAUUGUGGACCAGGCCAGAGUUGUACUAAACCAACUAAGACACAAUGAGAUACAGGAAUGACACAAUGAGAAACAGGAAACAGGAAAGUGAUGACUGAUCGCCACCUGUUACAAAUUCAUCUAGAAAACUCCCCACAUCCAACAAGAGACAGUCUGACUUCAAAAUCUUCAUUGAAGGCAACUUAAUGGACAAGACAUCCGUCACAUAAAGAUUCACUAAAAUUGGAAUGAUAUACCAAUUUUAACUUUUAACAGACAAAUACAUUAUAGAUUUGAAAAUAGAUUACCCUUAAA